CGGCCUUUCACUCUCUUUUUCUUUUGGCAGACCUUUGUGAGCCUCCUUUCAAUAAGCGGACAUGAGGAUGGUAGGUAUGGCGUCCCAAGCGAGGCAGGAGGAGAGGGAGUCCAACAGAAUCCACGGAGAAGAACUGAGGACCAGAUGGCAAACCAGUGAACCGGAGGAAUCAGGAACCAACAGCAGGCAGAGAGGCCCAGCUGGAGUCCAGACCUGAAUCCCACUGGGAACCUGUGGAGGAACUGAAAACCAGAGUGACAAUGAGGAAGACUUCCAGCCUCAAAGACCUGGAGAACCUGCUGGAGACAUGCAAGAAGCUUGUUAGCGCUUAGAAAAGAUGCGACAUUGGCAAAUAAAGCAUCCACCACUGCUUACUGUAUAACAUUUAUAGAUUAGAAUAAUCUCUAAAAUAUAUUGUUUUACUAGAAAAGAUUAAUCUUUUAAUAGAUUCAUCUAUUCUAUUAAAAAAAA
ensembl:lncRNA